UGCGCUCUGCUGCUGCUGUACAGUGCACGCCACCUCGGAGAAGUUGACCCCUCUGCACUCCAUCCAUCCACCCCAUUGAACUGCCAGCCCUGGUGUCUGUAAGGCGGGGAUUUACAUUUUCUCAGGACAGGCAGCCCAUGGAGAGAGGCCUGCUGGCAGAUCAAAGGCUCCGGCUGUAAAACGAUCUGAAAGAGUCCAGCAUUAGCAUCCAUCAGGGUACCUUGAAAGCUCCCUGAUCAGCCGAGAGGGAAGCUGAGGGCCCCCCAAAGUGAAAGCCC
ensembl:lncRNA